GAGUUUGAUCCUGGCUCAGAACGAACGCUGGCGGCAUGCUUAACACAUGCAAGUUGAACGCAGAAUAGGACUUCGGUUCUAUUGCUGAGUAGCAAACGGGUGAGUAACGCGUGGGAACCUACCUUUUUGUGGGGGAUAACUGAGGGAAACUUCAGCUAAUACCGCAUAAGCUCUACGGAGGAAAGGCUUCGGCCGCAAGAAGAGGAGCCCGCGUCAGAUUAGGUAGUUGGUAGGGUAAAGGCCUACCAAGCCAAUGAUCUGUAGCUGGUCUGAGAGGAUGAUCAGCCACACUGGGACUGAGACACGGCCCAGACUCCUACGGGAGGCAGCAGUGGGGAAUAUUGGACAAUGGGGGAAACCCUGAUCCAGCAAUGCCGCGUGAAUGAAGAAGGCCUUAGGGUUGUAAAGUUCUUUCACCUGUGAAGAUAAUGACGGUAGCAGGAGAAGAAGCCCCGGCUAACUCCGUGCCAGCAGCCGCGGUAAUA
rnacentral:rRNA from 1 species